UACAGAGGUCUCAAGCGUUGUUCGGAUUCAUUGGGCGUAAAGGGCGCGUAGGCGGUGUGUCAAGUCAGGCGUGAAAGCCCCGGGCUCAACCUGGGAACAGCGCUUGAGACUGGCACGCUCGAGUUCGGGAGAGGAUGGUGGAAUUCCCAGUGUAGAGGUGAAAUUCGUAGAUAUUGGGAAGAACACCGAUGGCGAAGGCAGCCAUCUGGACCGACACUGACGCUGAGGCGCGAAAGCGUGGGGAGCAAACAGGG
rnacentral:rRNA from 1 species